UACGGAGGGUGCAAACGUUGCUCGGAAUCAUUGGGCGUAAAGCGCACGUAGGCGGCCCGCUAAGUCGGAUGUGAAAUCCCUCGGCUCAACCGAGGACGUGCAUUCGAUACUGGCAGGCUUGAAUAUGGAAGAGGGUCGCGGAAUUCCCGGUGUAGAGGUGAAAUUCGUAGAUAUCGGGAGGAACACCAGUGGCGAAGGCGGCGACCUGGGCCAAUAUUGACGCUGAGGUGCGAAAGCGUGGGGAGCAAACAGGG
rnacentral:rRNA from 1 species